CGGGGUGUGGCGCAGUGGCAGCGCGCAUGGUUUGGGACCAUGAGGCCGGCGGUUCAAAUCCGCCCACCCCGA
rnacentral:tRNA from 1 species